rnacentral:rRNA from 1 species
UACAGAGGUCCCAAGCGUUGUUCGGAUUCAUUGGGCGUAAAGGGUGCGUAGGCGGCGCGGUAAGUCGGGUGUGAAAUCUCGGAGCUUAACUCCGAAACUGCAUUCGAUACUGCCGUGCUUGAGGACUGGAGAGGAGACUGGAAUUUACGGUGUAGCGGUGAAAUGCGUAGAUAUCGUAAGGAAGACCAGUGGCGAAGGCAGCACUCUGGGACGUGACUGACGCUGAGACGCGAAAGCGUGGGGAGCAAACAGG